rnacentral:rRNA from 1 species
UACAGAGGUCCCCAAGCGUUGUUCGGAUUCACUGGGCGUAAAGGGUGCGUAGGUGGUUUGGUAAGUCCGGUGUGAAAUCUCCGAGCUCAACUCGGAAAAUGCAUUGGAUACUACCAGACUUGAGGGUCGGAGGGGAGACUGGAAUUCUCGGUGUAGCAGUGAAAUGCGUAGAUAUCGAGAGGAACACCAGUGGCGAAGGCGAGUCUCUGGACGACUCCUGACACUGAGGCACGAAAGCUAGGGGAGCAAACAGGAUUAGAUACCCGAGUAGU